UACGUAGGGUGCAAGCGUUGUCCGGAAUUAUUGGGCGUAAAGAGCUCGUAGGCGGUUUGUCGCGUCGAAUGUGAAAACCCGGGGCUCAACCCCGGGCCUGCAUUCGAUACGGGCAGACUAGAGUUCGGUAGGGGAGUCUGGAAUUCCUGGUGUAGCGGUGAAAUGCGCAGAUAUCAGGAGGAACACCGGUGGCGAAGGCGGGACUCUGGGCCGAUACUGACGCUGAUGCGCGACAGCGUGGGGAGCAAACAGG
rnacentral:rRNA from 1 species